CUACGGGACGCACCAGUGAGGAAUUUUGCGCAAUGGGGGAAACCCUGACGCAGCAACGCCGUGUGAGUGAAGAAGGCCUUCGGGUCGUAAAGCUCUGUCAAGUGGGAAAAAAGUCUUUCGGUAAAUAGCCGGAAGGCCUGAUGGUACCACUAAAGGAAGCACCGGCUAACUCCGUGCCAGCAGCCGCGGUAAUAGCGGAGGGUGCUAGCGUUGUUCGGAAUUAUUGGGCGUAAAGAGCGUGUAGGCGGCUUGGUAAGUCAGAUGUGAAAGCCCUGGGCUCAACUCAGGAAGUGCAUUUGAUACUGCUUUGCUUGAGUAUGGGAGAGGAGAGUGGAAUUCCCAGUGUAGAGGUGAAAUUCGUAGAUAUUGGGAGGAACACCCGUGGCGAAGGCGACUCUCUGGACCAAUACUGACGCUGAGACGCGAAAGCGUGGGGAGCAAACAGGAUUAGAUACCCGUGUAGUC
rnacentral:rRNA from 1 species